AAUGCCGGUUUCGAGCAGUUUCUAUCUCUCAACACGUUUUUCCGUCGUUAUGCCAGUGCUAAGUAUUCGUCAUAAAAACUAAUUUUAGUGGUUAUAAAAUGAGAGCUUGUGUGAAAUUUUGUGAUCGGGAAGAAAGGGUAAAUGUCCAAGUAACGAAAAUUAAAAACUUUGAUCAAAAAACGUGAGUUAAACUCAAGUAAUAUAAAGUUACGUGCAACGAUAUUGUGGAGGAUGGCAUAGUUUUGCACAUUGCAGAAACAUUGGAAGCUUUGGAGACGAUAGUUAAUACCAAACGUCUUGCAGCUCCUCCUUUAAAAAAAUUAAUAUCUUCUUCCGAAGAAAGCAGCGCUGGCAAAGACGGCGACAAAACAAAUAAAGUUGGAGAAAAAAUAAGAUAAAGCGGAAAAAUACUGACAGCCUCGGACAGAAAGCAACAGUGACAAAAGUUCAGGGAAAGCCUGCUAAAAAAAUGAAAAAGCGAAGAAAACAAUCGCUACCUCAAAUUCGCAAAAAAAUACUGAUUUAUCACUUGUAUUCGGUGCACCUAAUACACCAAAGGCAACUAGUA